AAACCACUGGAGUGAGGAACUGUGCAAACCUGGAUACAAGAGAACUGCUCAACAGCAGAAUGAUGAUUGCUUGACCUCGUUUGUAUCCACCUUGAAUCAAAUCCUCCCUUUCCAUAUGUAAGGACUUCUAGAUCUGGCCCCCACAUGCCAAAACAUCAUUCCAUUAGCUAUCCAUUUUCUUUCCCUACUUAUGAAUACUGUAUGUAUUUUUAAUCAUUUCUUAGGAUGACCAACACACUGUUUCCUUAUCUGUUGUUUUCCAGCUCCUUUCUCUUGUCAUUCAGAGACAUUCCUUUGACUAAUACUCAUAACUUUCUGCGGUGAUUCUUCUGCAAGGAUGAUCUUUCUUUGUGAUACAGUCAUCUGUGACCCACAGUUUGGAAGUUCUGCUGCCUCUUGAGAACCUUUUCAGUGUCAAGGUGAUCCUUCCUUGAACUUGCAAGUCUGUUCCCUGGGCAAACAGAUUCUCCAAAGGCAAAUACACCUACAUCAGGGUACUAGAAGCCUUCUUUACAAAUGGGUAAUAUGGAACUGACAGUGGUAUGGCCCUGGGGAGCUGGAUGAAGUUUGACUCUUGUCUCUGAGGCACAGAGGCUGUGCAGCCAAAGUGGAGAAAACAGGAAGGAGUCACUACUUGCACAGCCUAUUUGCUGCAGCACUUCUUGUCCCAGCCACAGGCCAUCCCAGCUCUUCUUAGUAAAGCACCAGAGCAGAACUGCUGUAUGGCUGGGUCAGGAGGAGUUCAUGUGUCUUGGAACAGGAAUGGAUGAAGGUGGGUCACAGUGCAGUACGAGAGUCUAUGCACCAAGCCCAGAAGGGUCACUGUGCUCCCUAUAUUAGCUUACUCUUCAAUUUCACUACAAAAUAGUGUUCCCCAUUUAAAACUUUUAAUAAAUCAGAUUUGUGAAAAGAAAGGGACAAAGAUGUGCCCCCUCCACUGAGUCCAUUGACCUUUUUUUCCCAGGGGUUUAAUAGGACCCUGGAGCCUGGUAGAACUGUGACACUUCUUUGUGUUCACCAUGAAAGAUUCACGUGGUAUUGCUUAUCUGCACAGGGAACUUCAUACUGUUAAAUAUCUGAACACAGGUUUGAACACAGAAUUCCCUGGCUGCAUGCCCAAAUUCCUCCACUGUCAGCUGGAAUUAUAUGAGUUUAAAUCACUUUUCCGAGUUCUCUGCUAACAAGGAUUAGAAAACAGGCAUGCAUAAGAAUACAUUUAGAUGCAAUUCUUAGUUUGCAUCAUUUAUCUUAUCAGUAUAAUGCAAGCCACAUAGGAUAUUUCCAGGAGGGGAGGAAGCUCUCAAUUUGAAGUGUAAAGGUAUAAUCCUGGGUACUGCAGUGACACACUAUAUCUUGGCAGGACAAAACCAUGGUCUGGGACUGGGGAUGGAAAUAUCACAUUUACCUGCUAAACUCUA